CUCCUAGAUGAUAAAACAAUUACCAGGACACUAGAUAACAUGGCCACAUAAAUGUAGCUAAAGAUUACAUUUCCAACACUGCCAAUUCUUUAAUGUCAAUGUUACGAAUGAUGUAUACUCUGAAAAGGUCUUUACAAUUUGACAAAAUGCUCUCCAACACUCAAUUGUAUGCUUGAAUAUCAAGGAAUUCCUUUCAUUCCAGAAGCUCAAGUGACACACCGUGUAAUAUCUGCAUGUCUUACAUUCUUCUUGUAAACAAGAGGCAGAAAAAGACUACAAGUUUGUAUCAAUUUUCAAAAUGAGCAGGCAAAGGAGCUGCAUAUCUCAAACUCGCAGUGUAAGUCAUAAGCUAUGUCUAUAUGAAUGAAUUAUGUAAACAACACAUACGAUGCUUUAUAAACA
rnacentral:lncRNA from 1 species